UUGAACGCUGGCGGCAUGCCUUACACAUGCAAGUCGAACGGUAACGGGCCUUCGGGUGCCGACGCGUGGCGAACGGGUGAGUAAUACAUCGGAACGUGCCCGAUCGUGGGGGAUAACGAGGCGAAAGCUUUGCUAAUACCGCAUACGAUCUACGGAUGAAAGCAGGGGACCGCAAGGCCUUGCGCGGACGGAGCGGCCGAUGGCAGAUUAGGUAGUUGGUGGGAUAAAAGCUUACCAAGCCGACGAUCUGUAGCUGGUCUGAGAGGAUGAUCAGCCACACUGGGACUGAGACACGGCCCAGACUCCUACGGGAGGCAGCAGUGGGGAAUUUUGGACAAUGGGCGCAAGCCUGAUCCAGCCAUGCCGCGUGCAGGAUGAAGGCCUUCGGGCUGUAAACUGCUUUUGUACGGAACGAAAAGCCUUCUUUUAAUACAGGAGGGUCAUGACGGUACCGUAAGAAUAAGCACCGGCUAACUACGUG
rnacentral:rRNA from 1 species